GAGUGGGGUCCUGACCUAAAGAAUUUGGUCAGUAAGACUGCUGAAAGCAUGUGGAGAGUACUGGGCAAUACAGGACUUACAUUUCUGGGGGAAGAUCCAGGAUGAAGGAUGAGGUGGACGUUGGGGUCACCCUGCAGCAUAACCAAGACUGGUAAGAGCCAAGGUGUGGCUGGCUGGCUGCAGCACACACAGACAUAGUUGGGAGUGACUUACAUGCUGGAGGCUGUUUGUGAGCAUUCCAGGCUAGAGGCUAUAGCAGCAGGGCAUUGUAAAGGGUACCCCAGGUUACAGGGCAGGGGUGAUGCAGCUACUCCUUAAUCUGGAUUGUGCCCCGGUAUGUCACACUAUGAUAUACAGGAGAUCAGACUAUAUUAUCCCUUCUGGCCUUAAAACUCUAUGAAGCUAUUAAUGGUGAAUUAUUUGCAUGGUGGACAUGUAAGGGACAAAAUUAUACAUGACAGUGAUAUUGCAAAACACAAUCAGACUGCAGGAUUUUCCAGAGGGCAACUGAAAAUCAUGACUGGGUAAUGUAUUGCCACAUGAUAAUUUCUGGAGUGUUGAAAGCUUACAGGAAGGUGUUGCAUGCUCAUGUCUUUGCAACUCCAGUUAGUGUCCCAUUUUCUAGAGUCACUCUGGGCCAAGCUGCAGACCUAUUAUUAUUUUUUAAAAGAACCUAUUUGACCUCUGUGAAGGUGCACCAUCACAACAGCAGCAGCAAUGGCACCCCCUUCAGGAAUGGGGAGGGGCCACAAAGACACAGCGAUGAACAUGAAAAUGGAGAGUGAGAAUAGAGGUUCAAUAAAAGGGAACCGAGGGGACACUGAGCGAAGAAUCCCAGACAACGCCCACUGCUCCAAAGAGAUAUGGAAAAGAGCUAGCCCGUUUGAUAAUUGGGAUCAGUGGGCAGAAAUCCUCCAAAGCAACAAGAGGCUCAACUCCUCAUCUGAGGCCUAAUGCGAAUGAAAUCCUGUUACGAGGCAGACGUGGUGCAGCAAGCUUCCCCCAGAUAACAGCAUUUUGAUUCCCGUUGAGUUGGAAAUGACUGAAAUGCAGAUGUUAUAUGCAGUGCUGUUGUAGCUGUGUCGGUCCCAGGAUAUUAGAGAGACAAAGUGGGUGAGGUAAUAUCUUUUAUUGAACCAACUUUUGUUGGUGAAAGAGACAAGCUUAUGAGCUUACACAGGUCUAGGAAACUUACUCAGAGUCACAGCUAACUACAAGAUAGAACAGAUUGUUUAGUGUAAGUAGUUAACGCAUAUUUCAAGGGAUCAUUCAAGGUGCAAUGGCUUGUUAAUACUCCUCCAGUCACAGGGAGGAAAGGGAGGGGGGAAGCAGCUG